AUUGAACGCUGGCGGCAUGCCUUACACAUGCAAGUCGAACGGUGACAGGUCUUCGGAUGCUGACGAGUGGCGAACGGGUGAGUAAUACAUCGGAACGUGCCUAGUAGUGGGGGAUAACUACUCGAAAGAGUGGCUAAUACCGCAUGAGAUCUACGGAUGAAAGCAGGGGAUCGCAAGACCUUGUGCUACUAGAGCGGCCGAUGGCAGAUUAGGUAGUUGGUGGGAUAAAAGCUUACCAAGCCGACGAUCUGUAGCUGGUCUGAGAGGACGAUCAGCCACAAUGGGACUAGGACACGGCCCAGACUCCUACGGGAGGGGGCAGUGGGGAAUUUUGGAAAAUGGGCGCAGGCCUGAUCCAGCCAUGCCGCGUGCAGGAUGAAGGCCUUCGGGUUGUAAACUGCUUUUGUACGGAACGAAAAGACUCCUUCUAAUAAAGGGGGUCCAUGACGGUACCGUAAGAAUAAGCACCGGCUAACUACGUGCCAGCAGCCGCCGUAAUAC
rnacentral:rRNA from 1 species